AUGCCUAGGAAUCUGCCUGGUAGUGGGGGAUAACGCUCGGAAACGGACGCUAAUACCGCAUACGUCCUACGGGAGAAAGCAGGGGACCUUCGGGCCUUGCGCUAUCAGAUGAGCCUAGGUCGGAUUAGCUAGUUGGUGAGGUAAUGGCUCACCAAGGCGACGAUCCGUAACUGGUCUGAGAGGAUGAUCAGUCACACUGGAACUGAGACACGGUCCAGACUCCUACGGGAGGCAGCAGUGGGGAAUAUUGGACAAUGGGCGAAAGCCUGAUCCAGCCAUGCCGCGUGUGUGAAGAAGGUCUUCGGAUUGUAAAGCACUUUAAGUUGGGAGGAAGGGCAGUAACCUAAUACGUUAUUGUUUUGACGUUACCGACAGAAUAAGCACCGGCUAACUCUGUGCCAGCAGCCGCGGUAAUACAGAGGGUGCAAGCGUUAAUCGGAAUUACUGGGCGUAAAGCGCGCGUAGGUGGUUUGUUAAGUUGAAUGUGAAAUCCCCGGGCUCAACCUGGGAACUGCAUCCAAAACUGGCAAGCUAGAGUAGGGCAGAGGGUGGUGGAAUUUCCUGUGUAGCGGUGAAAUGCGUAGAUAUAGGAAGGAACACCAGUGGCGAAGGCGACCACCUGGGCUCAUACUGACACUGAGGUGCGAAAGCGUGGGGAGCAAACAGGAUUAG
rnacentral:rRNA from 1 species